GAUUGAACGCUGGCGGCAGGCCUAACCCAUGCAAGUCGACCGGUAACCGGAAGAAGCUUGCUUCUUUGCUGACGAGUGGCGGACGGGUGAGUAAUGUCUGGGAAACUGCCUGAUGGAGGGGGAUAACUACUGGAAACGGUAGCUAAUACCGCAUAACGUCGCAAGACCAAAGAGGGGGACCUUCGGGCCUCUUGCCAUCGGAUGUGCCCAGAUGGGAUUAGCUAGUAGGUGGGGUAACGGCUCACCUAGGCGACGAUCCCUAGCUGGUCUGAGAGGAUGACCAGCCACACUGGAACUGAGACACGGUCCAGACUCCUACGGGAGGCAGCAGUGGGGAAUAUUGCACAAUGGGCGCAAGCCUGAUGCAGCCAUGCCGCGUGUAUGAAGAAGGCCUUCGGGUUGUAAAGUACUUUCAGCGGGGAGGAAGGGAGUAAAGUUAAUACCUUUGCUCAUUGACGUUACCCGCAGAAGAAGCACCGGCUAACUCCGUG
rnacentral:rRNA from 1 species